rnacentral:rRNA from 1 species
GGAUGAACGCUGGCGGCGUGCUUAACACAUGCAAGUCGAACGCACCUUCGGGUGAGUGGCGGACGGGUGAGUAACGCGUGGGAAUCUGCCCUCAGGAGGGGGAUAACGGCUGGAAACGGCCGCUAAUACCCCAUAUGCCGAGAGGUGAAACGAAUUUCGCCUGAGGAUGAGCCCGCGUCUGAUUAGCUAGUUGGUGGGGUAAUGGCCCACCAAGGCGACGAUCAGUAGCUGGUCUGAGAGGAUGAUCAGCCACACUGGGACUGAGACACGGCCCAGACUCCUACGGGAGGCAGCAGUGGGGAAUUUUCCGCAAUGGGCGAAAGCCUGACGGAGCAACGCCGCGUGAGGGAUGAAGGCCUCUGGGCUGUAAACCUCUUUUCUCAAGGAAGAAGACAUGACGGUACUUGAGGAAUAAGCCACGGCUAAUUCCGUGCCAGCAGCCGCGGUAAUACGGGAGUGGCAAGCGUUAUCCGGAAUUAUUGGGCGUAAAGCGUCCGCAGGCGGCCCUGUAAGUCUGUCGUUAAAGCGUGGAGCUUAACUCCAUUUAAGCGAUGGAAACUACAGGGCUUGAGUGUGGUAGGGGCAGAGGGAAUUCCCGGUGUAGCGGUGAAAUGCGUAGAUAUCGGGAAGAACACCAGUGGCGAAGGCGCUCUGCUGGGCCAUAACUGACGCUCAUGGACGAAAGCCAGGGGAGCGAAAGGGAUUAGAUACCCCUGUAGUCCUGGCCGUAAACGAUGAACACUAGGUGUCGGGGGAAUCGACCCCCUCGGUGUCGUAGCCAACGCGUUAAGUGUUCCGCCUGGGGAGUACGCACGCAAGUGUGAAACUCAAAGGAAUUGACGGGGGCCCGCACAAGCGGUGGAGUAUGUGGUUUAAUUCGAUGCAACGCGAAGAACCUUACCAGGGUUUGACAUCCUGCGAAUCCCUUGGAAACUUGGGAGUGCCUUCGGGAGCGCAGAGACAGGUGGUGCAUGGCUGUCGUCAGCUCGUGUCGUGAGAUGUUGGGUUAAGUCCCGCAACGAGCGCAACCCACGUCUUUAGUUGCCAGCAUUCAGUUGGGCACUCUAGAGAGACCGCCGGUGAUAAACCGGAGGAAGGUGUGGAUGACGUCAAGUCAUCAUGCCCCUUACAUCCUGGGCUACACACGUACUACAAUGCUACGGACAAAGGGCAGCAAGCUCGCGAGAGUUAGCAAAUCCCAUAAACCGUGGCUCAGUUCAGAUCGUAGGCUGCAACUCGCCUACGUGAAGGAGGAAUCGCUAGUAAUCGCAGGUCAGCAUACUGCGGUGAAUACGUUCCCGGGCCUUGUACACACCGCCCGUCACACCAUGGAAGUUGGCCAUGCCCGAAGUCGUUACUCCAACCCUUGUGGAGGAGGACGCCGAAGGUGGGGCUGAUGACUGGGGUGAAGUCGUAACAAGGUA